UCCUCUAAGACCAUAGACCUCUUAUCAUGUUCUCUUUUUAAAGCAUGAGUCGUUUUUAUAAUAGUUAGAAAAUAAAUGUGUAAUAUUUUUUCUUUCUUAUCCUCAGAAUAAAGCCUGGGGAAAUUUAAUGUUCCUGGAGUCAGCCUGUGGAUUUGUGAUAACGAUUCUGGGAGAAAAGCCUUUUAACUCGGAAUGGAAUCUGUUUGCAGCUAUUGUUCAAUAAACAUAAAGUAUCUGGUUACUGGGCAUGUUGCAUAAUGCAUGAUAAUGUAAAUCAAACGUUUUAAGUGCCGACAUUGAACUCCAGGAUAACAAUGAAGAGUGAAGCAAUUGGUUAAUUUUUUUAGAAAUCCCCUAAAACAAUGCUGCCGAAGCCUGAAUGAUUCAACACUUUAGAGCUGAUGCAGCUGAGGGUUGGUUGUCUGUGUGUGCUCUCGCUGAUAAGAAUUCUGGAAGGAAACAGGAAAAAACACAUGUCUUGUCCUCUUUAAGAGCUAGAAAAGCUGUCAGAAAAAUUAAGAUUAAACCUCAUGAGAGUCUGUGGGUGUGGAAAGUCACCAGCUAGCUAAUAUUAACAUAGCUUGCAACAGAACACUGUUGCUAGAAAUAGGACAGUCGCAUCACUACCACUAAGCAAUUUGCAUUCGGUGGACCAGCCCUCCAUUCCUCCUGGCUCCUGCUGCCCUCAGGGCAUCGCAUUUCUGGACGUUUUUAGACGCCUUUGGAACAUAGCUGUCUGCUUUCAACGAGAACUCUACCCAAAAGAGGAAGCAGCGCAGAGGAGACGUCUGCUUUGUUUGCAGGAAAGUGGUCGAGCUACAAGCAAUUCUCUAGGCGUCUGAGGAAUUGUGCAGCUUCUAGAUUUCAUGCGGCUGCCGACAGGGAGGGGCAAAUAAGGAUCUUUGUGCUUUCCUCACCAUGGAUAAUCUGAUGCCUCAGUCGAGAUCCUCUUAUUUCAAAAAAUAUCCUCUCCACGCAAUUAGAAAAUAUUUAUCGAUGCUGGGAAACCAAAAAGCCGAAGAACAGGCACAAGUCAGUACUUGCUUUCAGCUGUUCAGACUUGGCAGAAGAGCAAGCAGGCGUUGUGGGGGAUUUAUUUGAACUUGGAACAUUUGGAUCCUGAGAUUAAGCUCAAAUUCUGUUAAUAAAACCUUUCUUCU